GACGAACGCUGGCGGCGUGCUUAACACAUGCAAGUCGAACGAAGAGCGAUGGAAGCUUGCUUCUAUCAAUCUUAGUGGCGAACGGGUGAGUAACGCGUAAUCAACCUGCCCUUCAGAGGGGGACAACAGUGGGAAACGACUGCUAAUACCGCAUACGAUCUAAUCUCGGCAUCGAGGAUAGAUGAAAGGUGGCCUCUACAUGUAAGCUAUCACUGAAGCAGGGGAUUGCGUCUGAUUAGCUAGUUGGGGGGGGAACGGCCCACCCAGGCGAUGAUCGGUAGGCGGUCUGGGGGGAUGGACGGCCACAUUGGGACUGGGACACGGCCCAGACUUCUACGGGAGGCAGCAGUGGGGAAUCUUCCGCAAUUGACGAAAGUCUGACGGAGCAACGCCGCGUGAGCGAUGACGGCCUUCGGGUUGUAAAGCUCUGUUAAUCGGGACGAAAGGCCUUCUUGCGAAUAGUGAGAAGGAUUGACGGUACCGGAAUAGAAAGCCACGGCUAACUACGUG
rnacentral:rRNA from 1 species